AGCAAAAUAGCUGUGUUUUCAUUUUCUGUACGUUGUCUUGCACAGAGUAAAAUCUCUCAAAAACAACCAAUGAAAAAUUAUUUCCCACACUAUUCAUAAUGCUUACAGAAUAAAGAUAGAAUUAGUUAAAAGAGCAAGUCUUGGUCGAGUCUGCAAGUGUUGGCAAGUGUUAGGCAUGAAAUCAGCCAUCUGUGUUAAUGAAGAGUUUCCUGUCCGCCACCUGUCAGAUGUCCCUAUCGAAGUUCUCCACACUGAACCUCCAGCAAUUCAAUUACAGUUAAGAUUUUCCUGUCCUGGCCCUGGUUUCUGCAGAGGUUUCCACUUGUGAGUCUGCUCUGAUCUAAAAAGAGUUGAUGCUUUUUCAGUCUGUUCCGCAUUUUACUUGUUGUUAGGAUGGAGUGGUGAUUUCCAACAUGUCGAACUGGAAACUGGCCCUUGAUAAUCUUUUCAAAAGAUCUUCCCCUUCGAGGCACAAAGGAGGAACGUCUUGGCUGAAUGCUCUGAGGGUGGGUGCAGUCAAAGGACAAGUUCUGAACGCUCUGGAGACUAGAAGUCCAAAAUUAAGGUGCUGACUGGUCCACGCUCCCUCUGAAGCUUCCAAAGGAGAAUCCUUCCUUUCCUCUUCCAGCUUCCGGUAAGCCCCAGGCGUACAUUGGCUUGUAGAUGUG